GCCAGAUGCUGACUGAGUGAAUGAGUGACCUUGGGUUCUGCCAGUUGAGGACUCAAGUAAUCAGUUAUCACCUGAAAAGAACCAGAAGGUCAGGACUGAUGCCAUGAGCAGAGAAUGGAAAUAUCAGAGCCAAGAACUGAGCUUCACCUGGGCAAGGCCUAAUUCGAAAGAACCAGAGAAUAUCAGUCAUAAAUCACAGAGCCAAGAGGUGAGUGAUGGGGAGAACACAUGAAAGUAAAGUAAGUGGAGAAAUAUCUUAGGUUGUUUCUGUGCAAUUUUGCCAAAAACUGACCAGACUCAGGAGCAACCCUUUGGGGAUUCUCGAGGGAUUUCAACUUAGGUAAAGGGUCCAAUUUGGGUUGAAUACCCUCUUCCUUGGCUCGUGUGGCACAGCUUUCCUGUCUCUCCCUCGAAGAAAAGUGAGGUAUAUGUAGAGCUUUCAGAGUUAUCACGGCUGCCUUCAAGGCAUUUCUUUCCAGAUAAUGAGAUUUGUUUUGGUGCAGAUGGGGCUCAAUAUGUCCUCCACUAUGGACUCUGGUUCCUGUCACGGGCCACUAGGAAUGAACUGAGAGGCACAGAAACAUGAAACCACAAGCAUUCCAACAGAGAUACUAAAGAAUGGGCAAGAAGACACAAGAGCUAGGAGAGGGGAACAGUGUACUUCUCACUAGCAUCUGUUGUAUAUCCAAACUACUUCUGGCCUUCUUAGGCAGAUGUUAUAAACUGAAAUAUUAGGAGAAUGCUUUUCAGUCUCCAUUUAACUGUCACUCUUCAAAAUAUUUUAUGUUGUAGAUCCAGUUUCCUUUCAUAUAAACCAUGUAAUGUUUCAUAUUACAUGAGUAGGUCAUACAGUACAGAAGUAAAUAGUCUAUAGAACCUGGACCUGUUAUGAAUUGGAAGGUUUUAAGUUUCUCCAGAGCAUCCUGAUGCUUUCAAAGCUAUGCCAGUGUAAAAGCCAAGAAUCAAAUACCAACCAAACAGAAUUCCCAAAUCACACAAUCACUCUUCUCCUCCUUUCCACACACUUGAUUUAGAGGUGAAGGUUCAAUAAUUGAUAGACAUGACUAAGCCAAGUCGAGGUUCAUUUACUCGCAGGCUGACAACAAUGGAUCCCAUUACUGGGGCCAUGAUUAUAUCCUACAAGUAGUGGCUUUCUCAUUAUAAAGAUUAUCACCAAUUUUAAGAAUUAUGGGAUAAGCUGGUUUCUAUUAAUAGAAUUGGAAAUAUUGGGGGUGGGGAACAAAAAAGGCUCACAGCAGUCAUCUGCUAACUUAAGGUACAAUCUGAAAGCCAGAGGGUCUCUCCUCCAUCUUUGUAAAGAGACUCCCGUCUCUUGACAUGUUAAAUGUACUGAAAAUCAGCCCAAUAUACUAUGACAGUCACCAAAGAAUUACAGACAGGCCUGAAUGUACAAUUUCAACAAGCAAUUUGUCAAAUUCAGAUCCUUGAUAGAAAAAGGAGAAAACUAAGAAAUCUAAUAUGGGGGUAUUUGUUAGAAAAAGCAUGAGAAUCUUGAAUCCCCAAAUUCUCUGAAUCUGAUGCAUGACUAGGAGUAGCCUAUUGAUCCACUGGGCAACAAGUUCCUGACUGGAAUUCAUGCAAUGACUUCAGAUGAAGCUGAUGCAUCUGAUGACAAUAUGUGUUUUCUUCCAGAUCUGCCCCAGUUCUCCCCAUUGUCUCUAUGAAGAUAGUGUCAUGUCUUUGGACGGCUCAAGUGGUAAAAUAAAGCCCCUUCUCCAGGCAAAAAUAGCUCACAUGCCAAAGAAAUAUGAGUACUUGUCUAAGUCACAUGGGUAGGCACCAGGGGGAUGCACGUACAAGUGGAUCUUACAGAGCUGGACUAGAACAUGAAGCAGAAUAUAUAUCAAGUUGGACAAGGAAGAAUGUAUCUUGAGCCCACUCACAAACUGACAUUGAGUGUUCUGACAUCUGGAGAGAGUCCUAACUGUCUGCUGGCAUGAACCCUUAAAGCUGUAUACAAUGUUGACCUACCAGAAAUGAGUAGAGAUGCUGGACUCCCUCAGUACAGAUGUGAGAAAGGGGGUCAGAAGACAGAUGUGGCAACGUAAGGCUAAGACGUUAUAUGAAUUUGGAGGCGAUAAUCUCUCUGAUUUGAUCUUUACACAUUUGAAAGAGAGACAUAACAAUACCCUACAUCAGACUAUACGUUCCUUGACAGUAGAGACUAUGUUUUAAUACACUCUUGUAUCUCCUGCUCCUUACAAUAUAUCACAAACAUUUCUUGAUUGAGCAAAUAAAGGAAUAGGCUUUACUCUUGGGAUUCAAGCGACCCAAUGUACAGAUAUACAUAAAGUAUCUGACACGUAAAAGGUACUCACUACAUCAAAGAUUUCCCUUCCUGACUUGCUUUCUUUUAAAUGUACCUCCUAUCUUUCCAUCCCACUCUGUGCAGACAGUCACAUGCUCUGUGCUGUUUAAGAUCAUUAUUAUCUUCUGCCAUGUGUAUUAGAAGGACCUUUUAUCUGUUAAUCCCUAUCAGUUUCAGCACCAUUAUCCAGAGAGCUGGCUGUUACAAUUUCUUUCUCCAUCUAAGAUCUAAUCACACUAACAUUUGCUUUCCACUUACUUGAGGACAAAGCUGAAAUUCUUUACCCUAGAAAUCAAUGCCCUUUGUUGGUAUGGUAGAAACUGUGUGGGAAGAGUUAGCAAAUGCUUAAGGAAUGGCUGUUAAUCAGUGAGUACUUAUUGAAUUUAAUCCCUUAAAUUCAUUCCUUUAUCUGUGGAAGUUGUAUACAAACAGCUAAUGUAGAGAUACUGCUGUAGUGAAGAAUAAAAGAGACAAAACUUGGUACACCUGGGUGGCUCAGUCGGUUAAACGUUCGACUUCGGCUCAGGUCAUGGUCUCACGGUUCGUGAGUUCGAGCCCCGCGUCAGGCUCUGUGCUGACAACUCAGAGACUGAAGCCUGCUUCAGAUCCUGUGUCUCCCUCUCUCUCUGCCCCUCCCCAUCUUGCACUGUCUCUCUCUCUCUCUCUCUCUCUCUCAAAAAUAAAUAGAACAUUUUUAAAAAAUUUAAAAAGAGAGACAAAACAUGAGAAGCACUUAGGACAUGAUGGGUGCCAAGUCAGCUUAUAUAUACAUGUAUUCAUCUUUCUAGAAAUACCUCCUGUCAUCUCCCCUUUCAACUCAAGGUGGGAAUCACCCAAGUAUUUUGUUUUGAGAAAGUGAGUUAAUGAUGAGAUGAUCCAAACCAAUUCUAAGUUAAUAUCCAUAAACUAACUGCUUCUAGGUGUUUUCCAUACUGCCUUUCUUUCAGGGUGUCCCAUUUCUUUCUUCUCCCAGAAAAUUCCUAUAUUUUAUCUGAGCUCACCCCCCAGAUGCUCUCUGUGAAAGCACUAUUUUCUUUUCUUAAUUCUAUCAAGUGUGUUGCUUAACUUCAUUAUAAUAC
rnacentral:lncRNA from 1 species